rnacentral:rRNA from 1 species
CUCCUACGGGAGGCAGCAGUGAGGAAUAUUGGUCAAUGGGCGAGAGCCUGAACCAGCCAAGUAGCGUGAAGGAUGACCGCCCUAUGGGUUGUAAACUUCUUUUAUAUGGGAAUAAAGUUUGCCACGUGUGGCAUUUUGUAUGUACCAUAUGAAUAAGGAUCGGCUAACUCCGUGCCAGCAGCCGCGGUAAUACGGAGGAUCCGAGCGUUAUCCGGAUUUAUUGGGUUUAAAGGGAGCGUAGGUGGACAUGUAAGUCAGUUGUGAAAGUUUGCGGCUCAACCGUAAAAUUGCAGUUGAUACUGCGUGUCUUGAGUACAGUAGAGGUGGGCGGAAUUCGUGGUGUAGCGGUGAAAUGCUUAGAUAUCACGAAGAACUCCGAUUGCGAAGGCAGCUCACUGGACUGCAACUGACACUGAUGCUCGAAAGUGUGGGUAUCAAACAGGAUUAGAUACCCUGGUAGUCCACACAGUAAACGAUGAAUACUCGCUGUUUGCGAUAUACAGUAAGCGGCCAAGCGAAAGCAUUAAGUAUUCCACCUGGGGAGUACGCCGGCAACGGUGAAACUCAAAGGAAUUGACGGGGGCCCGCACAAGCGGAGGAACAUGUGGUUUAAUUCGAUGAUACGCGAGGAACCUUACCCGGGCUUAAAUUGCAGAUGAAUUACGGUGAAAGCCGUAAGCCGCAAGGCAUCUGUGAAGGUGCUGCAUGGUUGUCGUCAGCUCGUGCCGUGAGGUGUCGGCUUAAGUGCCAUAACGAGCGCAACCCUUGUUGUCAGUUACUAACAGGUUCCGCUGAGGACUCUGACAAGACUGCCAUCGUAAGAUGUGAGGAAGGUGGGGAUGACGUCAAAUCAGCACGGCCCUUACGUCCGGGGCUACACACGUGUUACAAUGGGGGGUACAGAGGGCCGCUACCACGCGAGUGGAUGCCAAUCCCCAAAACCUCUCUCAGUUCGGACUGGAGUCUGCAACCCGACUCCACGAAGCUGGAUUCGCUAGUAAUCGCGCAUCAGCCACGGCGCGGUGAAUACGUUCCCGGGCCUUGUACACACCGC